rnacentral:rRNA from 1 species
UGCAAGUCGAACGGUAGAGGGGGCAACCCCUUGAGAGUGGCGAACGCCGUGAGUAAUAUAUCGGAACGUGCCCAGUCGUGGGGGAUAACGUAGUGAAAAUUACGCUAAUACCGCAUACGAUCUAAGGAUGAAAGCGGGGGAUCGCAAGACCUCGCGCGAUUGGAGCGGCCGAUAUCAGAUUAGGUAGUUGGUAGGGUAAAGGCCUACCAAGCCAACGAUCUGUAGCUGGUCUGAGAGGACGACCAGCCACACUGGAACUGAGACACGGUCCAGACUCCUACGGGAGGCAGCAGUGGGGAAUUUUGGACAAUGGGCGAAAGCCUGAUCCAGCCAUUCCGCGUGCAGGAUGAAGGCCCUCGGGUUGUAAACUGCUUUUGUACAGAACGAAAAGGUCUCUAUUAAUACUAGGGGCUCAUGACGGUACUGUAAGAAUAAGCACCGGCUAACUACGUGCCAGCAGCCGCGGUAAUACGUAGGGUGCAAGCGUUAAUCGGAAUUACUGGGCGUAAAGCGUGCGCAGGCGGUUAUAUAAGUCAGAUGUGAAAUCCCCGGGCUCAACCUGGGAACUGCAUUUGAGACUGUAUAGCUAGAGUACGGUAGAGGGGGAUGGAAUUCCGCGUGUAGCAGUGAAAUGCGUAGAUAUGCGGAGGAACACCGAUGGCGAAGGCAAUCCCCUGGACCUGUACUGACGCUCAUGCAC